rnacentral:rRNA from 1 species
AGUGAACGCUGGCGGUAGGCCUAACACAUGCAAGUCGAACGGCAGCACAGUAAGAGCUUGCUCUUACGGGUGGCGAGUGGCGGACGGGUGAGGAAUACAUCGGAAUCUACUUUUUCGUGGGGGAUAACGUAGGGAAACUUACGCUAAUAUCGCAUACGACCUACGGGUGAAAGCAGGGGAUCUUCGGACCUUGCGCGAUUGAAUGAGCCGAUGUCGGAUUAGCUAGUUGGCGGGGUAAAGGCCCACCAAGGCGACGAUCCGUAGCUGGUCUGAGAGGAUGAUCAGCCACACUGGUACUGAGACACGGUCCAGACUCCUACGGGAGGCAGCAGUGGGGAAUAUUGGACAAUGGGCGCAAGCCUGAUCCAGCCAUACCGCGUGGGUGAAGAAGGCCUUCGGGUUGUAAAGCCCUUUUGUUGGGAAAGAAAAGCAGCAGGUUAAUACCCCGCUGUUCUGACGGUACCCAAAGAAUAAGCACCGGCUAACUUCGUG